CCUACGGGAGGCAGCAGUGAGGAAUAUUGCGCAAUGGGCGAAAGCCUGACGCAGCGACGCCGCGUGAGGGAUGCAGGUCUUCGGAUCGUAAACCUCUGUCAGCAGGGAAGAACGGUCACUGUGCUAAUCAGCAGUGAAUUGACGGUACCUGCAAAGGAAGCACCGGCUAACUCCGUGCCAGCAGCCGCGGUAAGACGGAGGGUGCGAGCGUUAAUCGGAAUUACUGGGCGUAAAGCGCUCGUAGGCGGUAUGUCAAGUCAAGGGUGAAAGCCCCGCGCUCAACGUGGGAACUGCCUUUGAAACUGGCAAACUGGAGUGUGUGAGAGGAUAGUGGAAUUCCAGGUGUAGGAGUGAAAUCCGUAGAUAUCUGGAGGAACAUCAGUGGCGAAGGCGACUAUCUGGCACAUAACUGACGCUGAGGAGCGAAAGCGUGGGUAGCAAACAGGAUUAGAUACCCGGGUAGUC
rnacentral:rRNA from 1 species